rnacentral:rRNA from 1 species
GACGCUGGAGCUUGCUCCAGCCGAUCAGUGGCGAACGGGUGAGUAACACGUGAGCAACCUACCCUUGACUCUGGGAUAACCCCGGGAAACCGGAGCUAAUACCGGAUACGAACCGCACAGGCAUCUGCGUGGUUGGAAAGAUUUAUCGGUCAAGGAUGGGCUCGCGGCCUAUCAGCUUGUUGGUGGGGUAAUGGCCCACCAAGGCGACGACGGGUAGCCGGCCUGAGAGGGCGACCGGCCACACUGGGACUGAGACACGGCCCAGACUUCUACGGAAGGCAGCAGUGGGGAAUAUUGCACAAUGGGCGAAAGCCUGAUGCAGCGACGCCGCGUGAGGGACGAAGGCCUUCGGGUUGUAAACCUCUUUCAGCAGGGAAGAAGCGAAAGUGACGGUACCUGCAGAAGAAGCACCGGCUAACUACGUGCCAGCAGCCGCGGUAAUACGUAGGGUGCAAGCGUUGUCCGGAAUUAUUGGGCGUAAAGAGCUCGUAGGCGGUCUGUCGCGUCUGCUGUGAAAACCUAGGGCUUAACCCUGGGCCUGCAGUGGGUACGGGCAGACUAGAGUGCGGUAGGGGAGACUGGAAUUCCUGGUGUAGCGGUGAAAUGCGCAGAUAUCAGGAGGAACACCGGUGGCGAAGGCGGGUCUCUGGGCCGUAACUGACGCUGAGGAGCGAAAGCAUGGGUAGCGAACAGGAUUAGA